UAUUGGACAAUGGGCGCAAGCCUGAUCCAGCCAUGCCGCGUGAGUGAUGAAGGCCUUAGGGUGGUAAAGCUCUUUCACCGGAGAAGAUAAUGACGGUAUCCGGAGAAGAAGCCCCGGCUAACUUCGUGCCAGCAGCCGCGGUAAUACGAAGGGGGCUAGCGUUGUUCGGAAUUACUGGGCGUAAAGCGCACGUAGGCGGAUAUUUAAGUCAGGGGUGAAAUCCCAGAGCUCAACUCUGGAACUGCCUUUGAUACUGGGUAUCUUGAGUAUGGAAGAGGUAAGUGGAAUUCCGAGUGUAGAGGUGAAAUUCGUAGAUAUUCGGAGGAACACCAGUGGCGAAGGCGGCUUACUGGUCCAUUACUGGCGCUGAGGUGCGAAAGCGUGGGGAGCAAACAGG
rnacentral:rRNA from 1 species